rnacentral:rRNA from 1 species
UACGGAGGGUGCAAGCGUUAUCCGGAUUCACUGGGUUUAAAGGGUGCGUAGGUGGGUCUGUAAGUCCGUGGUGAAAUCUCCAAGCUUAACUUGGAAACUGCCAUGGAUACUAUAGGUCUUGAAUACCGUGGAGGUGAGCGGAAUAUGUCAUGUAGCGGUGAAAUGCUUAGAUAUGACAUAGAACACCAAUUGCGAAGGCAGCUCACUACACGAUCAUUGACGCUGAGGCACGAAAGCGUGGGGAUCAAACAGG